rnacentral:tRNA from 1 species
GCGGGUGUAGCACAAUGGUAGUGCCUCUGGUUUCCAACCAGAUUACGUGGGUCCGAUUCCCAUCACCCGCUCCA